UACGUAGGCAGCAAGCGUUGUUCGGAGUUACUGGGCGUAAAGAGUGCGUAGGCGGUCCUGUAAGUUUGGUGUGAAAUCUCCCGGCUCAACUGGGAGGGUGCGCCGAAGACUGCAGGGCUUGAGUAUGGGAGAGGUAAGCGGAGUUCCUGGUGUAGCGGUGAAAUGCGUAGAUAUCAGGAGGAACACCUGUGGUGUAGACAGCUUACUGGACCAUAACCGACGCUGAGGCACGAAAGCGUGGGUAGCAAACAGG
rnacentral:rRNA from 1 species